GGGCAAUGAGAAUUACUAGACCCUCUGACUCUUAAUCAGCGGGUCGUAGGUUCGAGCCCUACAUCACCCACCA
rnacentral:tRNA from 2 species